CCCCGGGGCCUUCCCCGGGAGGAAAAGGGAGAGGAAAGGUUCCCAGCCCGAGCCCCGCCGGGGAGGGCGCGGGGCGAGCCGCCCGCGCGGCGUGAAUUUCAGCAGGGGUGCGGCCGGAACAAUGGCCGGCCGGCGGGCGGCGCGCACCGCGCGCGGGGGGGGGAGGAGGCCCCCCGGGACUCCCCCCGAGGCGACGUUUGUGACAGGCGUGUAGGUGCGGCGUCCCCUGAGCAUCACCUGGCCGCGGGUCCCGAGGCUCUCCGUGGGAACCGAGCCCAGAACAGCCCCUCUGAGCGCCUGGCACUGCCUUCCUUACCGCGCUCGGGAGGAGAUGAAGACUAGAGGUUAGAAGAGCCAGGAAGAGGAGGUCUCAGGAGCACAGCCCGGAGUAAUAAGACCUGAAGAGAAGAGAUACAAACUUUCGGCCUGUAGACUCUUAAAACUCAGCUUCUGAUGGGAUGCCAGUCAGUGUAGACAAGAGGGUAGAAGAUUUGCUUGUGGCUUAGAGCUUUGUUCACACUUGGGAGGAACAGAGGAAAGGAUACAAGUUGUUGAGUGGUGUUGACAAAGGAGGGUUUGGUUUUGGACUCUGUGGAAAGUUAACUUUUUAGGCACAAGCAGUGACACCCGCCCAGUUUGUAACUCUGCUUGAGAUCU
rnacentral:lncRNA from 12 species